rnacentral:tRNA from 1 species
GCCUUCGUGGUUUAGUGAUCAGCACGCUCGACGCGUGACUGAGAGGUCCGUGGUUCGAUUCCUGGCGAAGGCG